GUAGCCUAGUGGAUAUGGCAUCUGCCCGGUAAGCGGAACAUUAUGGGUUCGUUUCCCAUAUUAUUUUUCCG